rnacentral:rRNA from 1 species
UACGGAGGAUCCAAGCGUUAUCCGGAAUCAUUGGGUUUAAAGGGUCCGUAGGCGGCCUUAUAAGUCAGUGGUGAAAGCCCCAUCGCUCAACGAUGGAACUGCCAUUGAUACUGUAAGGCUUGAAUUAUUGUGAAGUAACUAGAAUAUGUAGUGUAGCGGUGAAAUGCUUAGAUAUUACAUGGAAUACCAAUUGCGAAGGCAGGUUACUAACAAUGGAUUGACGCUGAUGGACGAAAGCGUGGGGAGCGAACAGGAUUAGAUACCCGCGUAGU